GUUUUGGGAAAAGAUUCUUGCAAGGAGGAAAAACAUUUAACAAUGCUCCUGCCAAGGUUGAGUUUCCCUGCCCCCCCUCAAAAUAAUCCCAGCAUCCUUGAUAUAACCCUUAAACCCCUGAGAUUUCAGAGGUUUUAAAAGAUGGCAUGCAUAAGGUUGCCUGAGUAAGAUUAGCUGGAAUGCCAGAUUCUAUGGCUGAUUGCCAGAGUAAUGGCACUAUAUGUGAAGUAGCAGAGAUAAAAAGUGAAGAUGAGCUAGUACUAAGGUAUGCUGUACUACAACAAGGUAACAGCAAGGCACACUUUAUCCUUGAUAUAAGCAUGGAGCUUUAGGAUUUGGGGGCUGAAAGAAGUAGGAUGGAAAAUACUUCACUGCAUUUGUUUUCCAAGUCCCAACAUGUUCUGUCUUUGGGGCAGAGCAGCCAACCUUCUCUGAUUUUCAUCCAGAGUUUUUGCAUCCAUGGAGUUGUAGCAAGGAAUUACUUGGCCAUAAACACCUCACUCUUGGGCCUAUUUAUUACUUUUCUUUCCCCAAGGUGUUUUCUGUCUUGGAAAUUAUUCAGGCAGAGGGGUUGUGGACAAAAUGAUGGCUGGGGCAGCUGCUCUCACAGCAGGUCACCAUGCUCCAUUUGCUCUUAUUACUGAUUACCUUCUGGAUGCCAUUUCAUUUUCAAGCAUGCAUAUGUGUUAGAGCUACAAUACUUCCUUUCCUUGAAAUGCAAAAGGACAAAGGUUUCUCUGUGAAAUCUUACAAAUUGAUUUUCUUGGACACGACUAAGCACUUGGCUUUAAACUAAGGUACCUCUACCAAAAAGAUGGAGGAGAAGCAGAAAGAGAAGGAAAGAGAAAGAAAAAAGUUCAACAUCGGGGUGUGGUGUCCACAUGAUGCUGCGCACCACUUUACAUGGCAGUCUCAACAUUUGUCUGUGUGCGUGUGGUGAGGGGGUCCACUUAAACUGGUAAAAAAAUGGAUUGGGACUCAAAGCAGCUGACAACAGUUUAAAAAUAGUUAAAAACCACAAAAUACAAAAACCUAUGGAAUGAGCCACCAGGACAAAUUCAAAAACUAUAUAUGCUGUCUGAAUUUAAAAGCGCAUUAAAGACCUAUCUCUUCCAGCAAGCCUACCUACUCAUUUUUAAACUAUGAAUUUUAAACUAGGAUAUUUUAAUUUAUGCUGGAUAAUUUUAAUGUGCCUUAUGUUUAUGUAUUUUAACUGUUUUAACAAUGUUUUUUCAGUAUUUAAAUGAUUUUAUAUGUUUUAGUCUAUGUUAUACCGCACCUUGAGCCUUGA